rnacentral:misc_RNA from 1 species
UUCACAAUCCACUGCCUUGAUCCACUUGGCUACAUCCGCCCCUUUACUAUUAAGUAAGAAACAUUUCUAUUUAAUUUAUUGAAUUUUUAUUUACGAAUUCAUUUUUUCAAUUUGAAUUUUUUUUAGAAAUUACAAAACAAAAGAUGGAAUCUCAAUCAUUUUUUUUUUAUCUUCUUUCUUUUUCUGUAAUGGAAAGAAAAAGUCUAGAUAAGUCCAAUACUACUACAAAAAAAGAGAAGGACUCCUUCUUGAAAAGAAAAUAAAGGAGCAAUAAACCCUUUACUUGUUCUAUACAAAAGAGGGUUUAUUGCUCCUUUUUAUCUAUUCUAUUUUCAAAAACUCCUAUACACUAAGAACAAGUCUUAGCCGUUUGUUGGAGCUUCGAUAGCAGCUAGGUCUAGAGGGAAAUUAUGAGCAUUAC